rnacentral:rRNA from 1 species
CACGUGGGCAACCUGCCCUCAGCUCUGGGAUAACUCCGGGAAACCGGGGCUAAUACCGGAUACGACCUUCACCGGCAUCGGUGGUGGUGGAAAGUUCUUCGGCUGAGGAUGGGCCCGCGGCCUAUCAGCUUGUUGGUGGGGUGAUGGCCUACCAAGGCGACGACGGGUAGCCGGCCUGAGAGGGCGACCGGCCACACUGGGACUGAGACACGGCCCAGACUCCUACGGGAGGCAGCAGUGGGGAAUAUUGCGCAAUGGGCGGAAGCCUGACGCAGCGACGCCGCGUGAGGGAUGAAGGCC